UCCAAAGCAUGUGCAGUCUUGGCCAGCUGACAGCCACUCCGCUGUGCUCUGAACAUGGCUGCUAGACGGACUGUUUGCAGGAAAAGGCUCCAUACAACUUGAAGAAAAUGUCAACAUUGUUUCAGAGAUGUCAGCAACAAAUCCAUUCCAGCUAUAAAGUUGUUUCUGCAAGAACACAGAGAAAUCCGUGCGUUUAUCUUGAAGACAACUCUUUCAAACAAAUGUUCUAAUUAGGAACCACAACAUCCUAUUUCUUUUUUAAUGCUCUAGUUGUAAAUGGACAACAAAUGUUGUUGAGCAAGAGAAUGUCAUUGUCUAAACGUGGAAAUGGAAUUUCAAGUUCUGCAUUCAAUUAUGUUUGGAGGUUUUGCCUUUCAUUUCGAGUUAAACCUGGAGAUUUUGAAAAAGAAAUCUGUCUCCAUUAUUGCUUCUCUUUUUUAAACAGUAAGAAUAUGAAAGAGCACAUUCGAGCUGCCAGGAACAGCAUGGAGAUCGUCUAAAACACAGCAGACCUCUUGGUUGUUCAAAUAAUUGUGCACUGUAUCAACA
rnacentral:lncRNA from 1 species